rnacentral:rRNA from 1 species
GAUGAACGCUGGCGGCGUGCCUAAUACAUGCAAGUCGAGCGAACGGACGAGAAGCUUGCUUCUCUGAUGUUAGCGGCGGACGGGUGAGUAACACGUGGAUAACCUACCUAUAAGACUGGGAUAACUUCGGGAAACCGUAGCUAAUACCGGAUAAUAUUUUGAACCGCAUGGUUCAAAAGUGAAAGACGGUCUUGCUGUCACUUAUAGAUGGAUCCGCGCUGCAUUAGCUAGUUGGUAAGGUAACGGCUUACCAAGGCAACGAUGCAUAGCCGACCUGAGAGGGUGAUCGGCCACACUGGAACUGAGACACGGUCCAGACUCCUACGGGAGGCAGCAGUGGGGAAUCUUCCGCAAUGGGCGAAAGCCUGACGGAGCAACGCCGCGUGAGUGAUGAAGGUCUUCGGAUCGUAAAACUCUGUUAUUAGGGAAGAACAUAUGUGUAAGUAACUGUGCACAUCUUGACGGUACCUAAGCAGAAAGCCACGGCUAACUACGU